rnacentral:rRNA from 1 species
CCUACGGGAGGCAGCAGUGAGGAAUAUUGGUCAAUGGUCGGGAGACUGAACCAGCCAAGCCGCGUGAGGGAUGAAGGUACAGAGUAUCGUAAACCUCUUUUGUCAGGGAACAAAGGCGGGGACGCGUCCCCGGAUGAGUGUACCUGAAGAAAAAGCAUCGGCUAACUCCGUGCCAGCAGCCGCGGUAAUACGGAGGAUGCGAGCGUUAUCCGGAUUUAUGGGGGUUAAAGGGUGCGCAGGCGGCCUGUUAAGUCAGCGGUCAAAGCCCGGGGCUCAACCCCGGCCCGCCGUUGAAACUGGCAGUCUCGAGUUGGAGAGAAGUAUGCGGAAUGCGCGGUGUAGCGGUGAAAUGCAUAGAGAUCGCGCAGAACUCCGAUUGCGAAGGCAGCAUGCCGGCUCCACACUGACGCUGAGGCACGAAAGCGUGGGUAUCGAACAGGAUUAGAUACCCUUGUAGUC